UACGUAGGGGGCAAGCGUUACUCGGAUUCACUGGGCGUAAAGCGCGUGUAGGCGGCUGGUCAAGCGUGGUGUGAAAUCUCCGGGCUCAACCCGGAAACUGCACCGCGAACUGGCCUGGCUGGAGUGCAGGAGAGGGAAGGGGAAUUCCUGGUGUAGCGGUGAAAUGCGCAGAUAUCAGGAGGAACACCAAUGGCGAAGGCAGCUCGCUGGGACGGUACUGACGCUGAGACGCGAAAGCGUGGGGAGCAAACAGG
rnacentral:rRNA from 1 species